GAUGAACGCUGGCGGCGUGCCUAAUACAUGCAAGUCGAGCGAACAGACGAGGAGCUUGCUCCUCUGACGUUAGCGGCGGACGGGUGAGUAACACGUGGAUAACCUACCUAUAAGACUGGGAUAACUUCGGGAAACCGGAGCUAAUACCGGAUAAUAUAUUGAACCGCAUGGUUCAAUAGUGAAAGACGGUUUUGCUGUCACUUAUAGAUGGAUCCGCGCCGCAUUAGCUAGUUGGUAAGGUAACGGCUUACCAAGGCAACGAUGCGUAGCCGACCUGGGAGGGGGAUCGGCCAACCUGGAACUGAGACACGGGCCAGACUCCUAGGGGAGGCAGCAGUAGGGAAUCUUCCGCAAUGGGCGAAAGCUUGACGGAGCAACGCCGCGGGAGUGAUGAAGGUUUUCGGAUCGAAAAACUCUGUUAUUGGGGAAGAAAAAAUGUGAAAGAAACUAUGCAGGUUUUGACGGUACCUAACCAGAAAGCCACGGCAAACUACGU
rnacentral:rRNA from 1 species